rnacentral:lncRNA from 1 species
GGGGUCUCUUUUCUAAAGCAAGGCUCUUUAUAUUGAAGAAUGGAAAACCUCAGGAGAACAAGACCACUGUUUUCCUAUACUUACUAUAUCUGAUUGAUUCUCAGUCUCUUUCUAAUUCUGGAAGUGAGUGUGUGUGUGUGUGUGUGUGUGUGUGUGUUAGAAGUAGUGGUUCACAGGGCAGGGUUACCUGUUUUUGAGAGAAGAAUUGUGCUCAUUUGUUGAACCAUAAACAUGUGUCCUUGGUUGGUUUGGAAAACAGGACAUUGGACCCCCAAACGACUCAAACUAAUUUUUAUUUUACUAUUUAUGAAGUUAAAUUGUUGCUUUAUGGGCUGGCUGCCUUUGUAUUUGUUUUUAUUUUUUCUGCAGAGCAUUAUUUAUUGCCACUCUUAAAGAAGGGUCAAAGGGAACACUGAACAAAAGUCUGCUUUAGAAAAAUGGGAACUGUGUCUCUUUGGCAACAUCCUCUUUUCCUUUUCGAUUUCCCCGCUGCUCACUUUAUCCUUCCCAGUCUUUCGGUUUCGUUGGCCUCUGAACAGUCUCAGAACAAAUAUCUCCAACAAAAUUGUUCGACUAGAUUUGCCAUUCCCUGCUACAGGUCGAUUUUUGUGUGUUCGGUCUGUUGCUAUUUGUAGUUCACCAAAACAACGACCAGGAGGUGCCUCAAAGUUACCUGUGUGUGCAGAGACUGAAACGACUGUUUUUAAGUGAUAUUUGGGAACACUUUAUUUUCUGGGUUGUAGGGAAAGACAGCCAUUAACUGAAGGAAAGCAGACUCAGGAGGCAUAAGGAUGAAGAACCCUAACCUCAGAGGCUUGUGGGGGCUCCCACGGGUGCCAAGAUCCAAAAGUCAACCUCAGAGUCAAGAGCAUUGCUGGCUGGAGACAAGAGAUGGCGCUGUGAGCCCAACGGAAAGAGAAGGCGGUGAGAGACCGUGCGCCACCUCCCAGCUGAUUAAAGGCCACCAAAAUGCACUUCCUGGGAUUUUUCUGAUUUGUUUUCUCAUGGCCUUUGGGGCUUCCUCAAACUCAAAAUAAUUGCCCACGCCAGAGUAUCUAGGAAUCUUUUUCUCCUCAUCCUUGGGAAGGGCUCGGCUCCCAGAUGUACACAGUAUAAACCCGCAAGGGAAGGUUGAGGCAGCCCUGGAAGUUCCUUGUUAUGCUGAGAGGGAAUCUUUCGAGGGUGGGGAGGUAACUUAUAGGUGGUCUUUGGAAAGCUGUGACUGUCAUGAGAGAUAGCCUGGCAUAAAUGACAAAGUUGGCUGUGGGUGAAUGAGAGAAAAACAGAAGAACCAAAGCAAAAAGCAAACAAAAAUAAUUGGCAUCAUAAAUCAUGGCUGAGCUCUCGGGAUGAAAUUCAUCUUCUGCUUUCGUGCGACGAACACAUUUUUGUCUCACUUUGUCCAGCUGUUCGUAGAAAGUCAAAUCACUUGGAUCAUGGGCUCAUUCCGUGUAAAAUUCUUCUCCUGACAAAAUCAGCCUUGAUCUUUUCAUUGGUUUCUCUUUGUCACAUUCUCUUUCUUACAUGCAACAUCCUGUGUUAGGACCAGGUACAUUCCCUUGCAAAAGAGACAGAGAGAAUUUUUUUGAGGUAGGUUACAGAAAACACAAUAAUUAACGAGGAACAGAGCUAACUUCAUACCUGACAUGAAGCCAACUCUUAAUUAGCUACAUGUGUAUCUCAUACUUGGUGAAUUAUGCGUGGAAAGUGUUUACUCACAAGAGACUUUCCCUCAAGCGUAUUUUAACUAUCAUCCUCAUUCCCACCUUCAUCUUCUUACCAGA